rnacentral:rRNA from 1 species
AGAGUUUGAUCCUGGCUCAGGACGAACGCUGGCGGCGUGCCUAACACAUGCAAGUCGAACGAAGCUUUGAGGAGCUUGCUUUUUAAAGCUUAGUGGCGGACGGGUGAGUAACGCGUGAGCAACCUGCCUCUCAGAGGGGGAUAACGUUUUGAAAAGAACGCUAAUACCGCAUAACAUAUCGGAACCGCAUGAUUCUGAUAUCAAAGGAGCAAUCCGCUGAGAGAUGGGCUCGCGUCCGAUUAGUUAGUUGGUGAGGUAACGGCUCACCAAGACUACGAUCGGUAGCCGGACUGAGAGGUUGAUCGGCCACAUUGGGACUGAGACACGGCCCAGACUCCUACGGGAGGCAGCAGUGGGGGAUAUUGCGCAAUGGGGGAAACCCUGACGCAGCAACGCCGCGUGAAGGAAGAAGGUCUUCGGAUUGUAAACUUCUUUUGUCAGGGACGAAGAAAGUGACGGUACCUGACGAAUAAGCUCCGGCUAACUACGUGCCAGCAGCCGCGGUAAUACGUAGGGAGCGAGCGUUGUCCGGAUUUACUGGGUGUAAAGGGUGCGUAGGCGGCCGAGCAAGUCAGUUGUGAAAACUAUGGGCUUAACCCAUAACGUGCAAUUGAAACUGUCCGGCUUGAGUGAAGUAGAGGUAGGCGGAAUUCCCGGUGUAGCGGUGAAAUGCGUAGAGAUCGGGAGGAACACCAGUGGCGAAGGCGGCCUACUGGGCUUUAACUGACGCUGAGGCACGAAAGCAUGGGUAGCAAACAGGAUUAGAUACCCUGGUAGUCCAUGCCGUAAACGAUGAUUACUAGGUGUGGGGGGACUGACCCCUUCCGUGCCGCAGUUAACACAAUAAGUAAUCCACCUGGGGAGUACGGCCGCAAGGUUGAAACUCAAAGGAAUUGACGGGGGCCCGCACAAGCAGUGGAGUAUGUGGUUUAAUUCGAAGCAACGCGAAGAACCUUACCAGGUCUUGACAUCCUGAGAAUCCUUAAGAGAUUAGGGAGUGCCUUCGGGAACUCAGAGACAGGUGGUGCAUGGUUGUCGUCAGCUCGUGUCGUGAGAUGUUGGGU